UCGGGAAUUUUGGGCAAUGGGCGAAAGCCUGACCCAGCAACGCCGCGUGAAGGAUGAAGUAUUUCGGUAUGUAAACUUCGUAAGAAUAGGAAGAAUAAAUGACGGUACUAUUUGUAAGGUCCGGCUAACUACGUGCCAGCAGCCGCGGUAAUACGUAGGGACCAAGCGUUGUUCGGAUUUACUGGGCGUAAAGGGCGCGUAGGCGGUUUGUCAAGUCAGUUGUGAAAUCUCCGAGCUUAACUCGGAACGGUCAACUGAUACUGCAGUGCUAGAGUGCGGAAGGGGCAAUCGGAAUUCUUGGUGUAGCGGUGAAAUGCGUAGAUAUCAAGAGGAACACCUGAGGUGAAGACGGGUUGCUGGGCCGACACUGACGCUGAGGCGCGAAAGCCAGGGGGAGCAAACGGGAUUAGAUACCCACGUAGUCCCUGAGCGGGCUGGCAAGGCG
rnacentral:rRNA from 1 species